GUUGAAUGUAACCUUCAGUCGGUAUCUGCAGGAACAUAGAAGGAGGGACACCUGCAGGAAUGAAGGGCACUGAACUUACCAGCUGACCCCUUUGACACAACUUGUCCACAAGGCAGAAGUCGUCGUGGCAGUGAAGCACGUCGGUUUUCAGGUUGCGGACGGUGCAGCUCCAGUCCUGGCAGCCGAGGUCCUUCUGGACCUUGUCAAAGCUUUCCUUCGCCUGCAGCACAGCGGUCAAGCGAGAUGAUAGUGAAUGCACGCAGCAACGAUGAGGAAUAGUCGGGCAUAAUGAUACAUGCCUUACCGCUAACAUGAUCCAGUGUAGUACAGAUAAUGUGUCGAACUAACAUAAAUAAGGAAUAAUAGCUGGAAGGAUAAGCAAUCGAAGAACUUCGUGCUUUACGCGUAGUCUACUGGUAUUAGAGUGUUCUAGCUUUGCGUGAUACGCUAUCGUGAUACCUGAUAAGUUGGGCCAUCCGCAUUCGCGCGUCUUAUACCGCUGACUACCACGCUAGAUCACCGGGAUUGUGUAACACCACGGCAUAGUAACCGAGACCGCCCGCUUCAAUAGAAAUUCGCCCUGGCUGCUUCCUCUUCGUUGUGGCAGCUAGAAAUAAAUCAUAAUAAUCAGCUAUCGCUUAGUCCCAUCUCAUGCUGAGGACAAAGCAUUAGCGAUGUGUUCUUCUUAUUAUUAUGAUCAGCAAAAGUUUGCUUUCACGCUUCUAGGCCUAGAGAGGCGGCAGUGAACUGGGAAAGUAUAUUUAGCCUAGCGGAUGACGCCACAGCACUAGCGCUUAUGAUGUGUUGGUGAUACGGAACGCCCUAAAAGCCUAGUUCUUCACUGCUUCGUUAAUUUGAUACUGCGCUCUACCACGGUACGCGACGGCGGUAUGCCUAAACGUUGACCCCUCGGCGUGUCCACCAAGGCUCCGCGGAGAGGCAGCGCUUGAGCAGAGGCCCUACCGUUUCGCACAUCAGGGUGACAUGUCACGUAUCACGCAAAGCUAAAACUAUCUAUUUUAGAAGAACUGUAGUCUAUUUUAAAGGAAUGUAUACGGGUUGUUGUGGCGUGGGAUACGUGUGUGACCGGCAUUCUUGGGUGGAUGCGCGAAAAUGUUUGACAGCUGUGAUAGCUAACGAGGUCGAACCGUUUAGAGCUGGCGUUGAACCCCACUUAUUUUAUGUGGAUGACAAACAUGCAGCCGUACGGCAUGACUUUUAGGUUUUAAAAAAACGUCGCAUUCAGAUAUGCGGGGUCUGCAAAAAAGCAGCAGACAUUACUCAUGAUUUAUCUUUCAAAGUGGGCUUCGCGGCAUACGUUUGCCUGUAAUCACUUGCAGGCGGAAGUCGACUAUUUUCUCUCAUGCAUUCAGGUGUUUUACUACACAGCCUCCCAUAAGACUGGUGUGUCUUGCUGAGAGCUCAGUGCUACUAUAGCGAAGAAUUAGAACAUGUUACCGCUUUUGAGAUGAGCUCCUUGACGCCCUCUAGUUCACUCUUCAACUGCAUGUCAUUCUUUUCUGUGUAGAAGAAAAUUCACAUAGAUUAAUCUGACACGCCGCGGGACAUGGUUUGUGAUGCCACGUGAAUUUCACUUAGAUCCAAAAUGGC